rnacentral:misc_RNA from 1 species
GAUGAAGAACGUAGCGAAAUGCGAUAAGUAAUGUGAAUUGCAGAAUUCAGUGAAUCAUCGAGUCUUUGAACGCACAUUGCGCCCCCUGGUAUUCCGGGGGGCAUGCCUGUCCGAGCGUCAUUGCUGCCCUCAAGCACGGCUUGUGUGUUGGGCCCCCGUCCCCGGUUUCCCCCGGGGACGGGCCCGAAAGGCAGCGGCGGCACCGCGUCCGGUCCUCGAGCGUAUGGGGCUUUGUCACCCGCUCUGUAGGCCCGGCCGGCGCCAGCCGACACCCAACUUUAUUUCUCAGGUUGACCUCGGAUCAGGUAGGGAUACCCGCUGAACUUAAGCAUAUCAAUAAGCGGAGGA